rnacentral:rRNA from 1 species
UCCAGACUCCUACGGGAGGCAGCAGUGGGGGAUAUUGCACAAUGGGGGAAACCCUGAUGCAGCGACGCCGCGUGAGUGAAGACGGCCUUCGGGUUGUAAAGCUCUGUCAAUCGGGACGAAGAAGAUGACGGUACCGAUGAAGGAAGCUCCGGCUAACUACGUGCCAGCAGCCGCGGUAAUACGUAGGGAGCAAGCGUUGUCCGGAAUUACUGGGUGUAAAGGGCGCGUAGGUGGGCGCUUAAGUCAGGUGUGAAGACUCCGGGCUCAACCUGGAGACUGCACUUGAAACUGGGUGUCUUGAGGGCAGGAGAGGAAAGUGGAAUUCCUAGUGUAGCGGUGAAAUGCGUAGAUAUUAGGAGGAACACCAGUGGCGAAGGCGACUUUCUGGACUGUACCUGACGCUGAGGCGCGAAAGCGUGGGGAGCAAACAGGAUUAGAUACCCCCGUACA